GCGUCUUUAGUUCAGUGGUAGAACGCCGGUCUCCAAAACCGGAUGUCGUGGGUUCAAAUCCUACAGGGCGCG
rnacentral:tRNA from 1 species